GAUUUCAAAAUGAAUUUGCUAAGUAUCUGUUUCAGGAAUACAUGUGUCCAAAAUAAAGAGACUGCUUGGACUGAAGGAAAAGCUGCAGAAUGAAUUCAAGCAGUAUUAGAGGAAGAAAAAAAAUCACAUAGAGGAAGUCUUUAUAGACAUUUUAGUGUGACAAAAACUUCACAGUUUGCAAUCAACUACAAACCACAAAUUGCAGGAGGCUGGACUUCAGUCAGGGAACUACCUCUGUAAAGACUUUGCAGACUGUGGGGACCAAGUCCAGCUGAGUUACCUGGAAAACUGAACCCUCUCAGCUGAUCCUGUUUCUAUCAUUACACAGAUUUUUCCUGAGCUGUGGUGCUGCCAUCACAACUUUUGAGACAGUGAUACUGGCCUGCCCAGUGAGAACAACCACAGGAAUGGUGAGCACUCUGCUGGUCUCUGACUGUUUGCAGCUCAAGACAGUGGAAGGUUCUGGGAAGCCCAUGUUGCCAGAAGAUGUCCUUGUCAUACCCUGUGAGUAACCCUCAGAGGCACAGUGAUUCACAGCUACCCCUCUGAGUCAUAGGUCAGCAGAGUGACUUUCAUUACAUCUCAUGCAGCUUCUAGCUGGAGUGGCAUCAAGGUCAAAAAUUAUGCAGAUCUGAAAACUAAUGGAAACACAUCUGAAGUUACAGUACUUAGAAAUAAAAACUUUGGAAAUGACA
rnacentral:lncRNA from 1 species